GACGAACGCUGGCGGCGUGCCUAAUACAUGCAAGUAGAACGCUGAAGGAGGAGCUUGCUCUUCUGGAUGAGUUGCGAACGGGUGAGUAACGCGUAGGUAACCUGCCUGGUAGCGGGGGAUAACUAUUGGAAACGAUAGCUAAUACCGCAUAAGAGUAGAUGUUGCAUGACAUUUGCUUAAAAGGUGCAAUUGCACCACUACCAGAUGGACCUGCGUUGUAUUAGCUAGUUGGUGAGGUAACGGCUCACCAAGGCGACGAUACAUAGCCGACCUGAGAGGGUGAUCGGCCACACUGGGACUGAGACACGGCCCAGACUCCUACGGGAGGCAGCAGUAGGGAAUCUUCGGCAAUGGACGGAAGUCUGACCGAGCAACGCCGCGUGAGUGAAGAAGGUUUUCGGAUCGUAAA
rnacentral:rRNA from 1 species